rnacentral:lncRNA from 1 species
UUUUAGGCCAUUAGGGACCAGGUUUAGCCAGUGUAAAGCAGUAGAGUCUAUCUCCACGGAGACAUACUGACCUACGCUUCCACGCAUCUGGUGCAUGUCACUACAGAUAUUUCGUUCUGUCUUCUCUUCAGGUUGUACUGGAUGGUUUAGCAGCAUUUGAUUCUACAGGAUCCUUUUAGCUUACCUUGAAUCUCCUGUGAGAUUUCAGAUUGUGUAUGUCUGGAUCUGAUUAUCUUUGUCAAUUUGUUUUCUUCUCGUAUUUUUCUCCUCUGCCAGCUAUGUUAACUCUUCUCUCACCCAAGGCAAGAUCUCACGCCCCAAUGGGAUAUAAUGAAAAUAUGCUUUUGAAAUUUUCUUUGACGUCACCUUCUGACAGCGUGUCUGACUGGGGUUCAGAUCAGUUCCUUAGCUGA